rnacentral:rRNA from 1 species
UACGUAGGGGGCAAGCGUUGUCCGGAUUUAUUGGGCGUAAAGAGCGUGUAGGCGGCUGGGUAGGUCCGCUGUGAAAUUUCGGGGCUCAACCCCGAACUUGCAGUGGGUACGGGCAGACUAGAGUGUGGUAGGGGAGACUGGAAUUCCUGGUGUAGCGGUGAAAUGCGCAGAUAUCAGGAGGAACACCGGUGGCGAAGGCGGUUCUCUGGGCGAUUAACCUGACGGCUGGAGGAGCGAAAGUGUGGGGAGCGAACAGG